GGUAGUGUAAUAGGUAACAUACUAGAUUGGACAUCUAUAGAUGUGGGUUCGAUUUCUACUC
rnacentral:tRNA from 1 species